rnacentral:rRNA from 1 species
GAUGAACGCUGGCGGCGUGCUUAACACAUGCAAGUCGAACGGAAAGGCCCAAGCUUGCUUGGGUACUCGAGUGGCGAACGGGUGGGUAACACGUGGGUGAUCUGCCCCGCACUUCGGGAUAAGCCUGGGAAACUGGGUCUAAUACCGGAUAGGACGAUGGUUUGGAUGCCAUUGUGGAAAGUUUUUUCGGUGUGGGAUGAGCUCGCGGCCUAUCAGCUUGUUGGUGGGGUAAUGGCCUACCAAGGCGUCGACGGGUAGCCGGCCUGAGAGGGUGUACGGCCACAUUGGGACUGAGAUACGGCCCAGACUCCUACGGGAGGCAGCAGUGGGGAAUAUUGCACAAUGGGCGCAAGCCUGAUGCAGCGACGCCGCGUGGGGGAUGACGGCCUUCGGGUUGUAAACUCCUUUCGCUAGGGACGAAGCGUUUUUGUGACGGUACCUGGAGAAGAAGCACCGGCUAACUACGUG